rfam:Tupaia chinensis contig41692, whole genome shotgun sequence.
GUUGGCUGAAAGUCACCCUCAGCUCUGACCGUGGCCGUGGGUGAGAUUCGGCGCCCAGAGUCACUAGGGGCCUCAGCUCACCGCCCACUGCCUCGGUGUGGGGCAGUGAAACCCAGGCCCCGCCGCGG